AUUGAUUUUAUGCUUGCAUAAAUGAUUUUUGGAUUCGGAGCGAGUGGCGAACUGGUGAGUAACACGUGGGUAACCUGCCCCGAAGCGGGGGAUAACAUUUGGAAACAAGUGCUAAUACCGCAUAAUUAGUUGGAACCGCAUGGUUCCGACUUGAAAGAUGGCUCUGCUAUCACUUUGGGAUGGACCCGCGCCGUAUUAGUUAGUUGGUGAGAUAAAAGCCCACCAAGACGAUGAUACGUAGCCGACCUGAGAGGGUAAUCGGCCACAUUGGGACUGAGACACGGCCCAGACUCCUACGGGAGGCAGCAGUAGGGAAUCUUCCACAAUGGACGAAAGUCUGAUGGAGCAACGCCGCGUGAGUGAUGAAGGUUUUCGGAUCGUAAAACUCUGUUGCUAAAGAAGAACAAGUGUUAGAGUAACUGUUAACACUUUGACGGUAUUUAACCAGAAAGCCACGGCUAACUACGUGCCAGCAGCCGCGGUAAUACGUAGGUGGCAAGCGUUGUCCGGAUUUAUUGGGCGUAAAGCGAGCGCAGGCGGUUUUGUAAGUCUGCUGUGAAAGCCCUCAGCUCAACUGAGGAAGUGCAGUGGAAACUACAAAACUUGAGUACAGAAGAGGAAAGUGGAACUCCAUGUGUAGCGGUGAAAUGCGUAGAUAUAUGGAAGAACACCAGUGGCGAAGGCGGCUUUCUGGUCUGUUACUGACGCUGAGGCUCGAAAGCAUGGGUAGCGAACAGGAUUAGAUACCCUGGUAGUCCAUGCCGUAAACGAUGAAUACUAGGUGUUGGAGGGUUUCCGCCCUUCAGUGCCGCAGCUAACGCAUUAAGUAUUCCGCCUGGGGAGUACGACCGCAAGGUUGAAACUCAAAGGAAUUGACGGGGGCCCGCACAAGUGGUGGAGCAUGUGGUUUAAUUCGAUGCUACGCGAAGAACCUUACCAGCUCUUGACAUCUUCUGCCAACCCAAGAGAUUGGGCGUUCCCUUCGGGGACAGAAUGACAGGUGGUGCAUGGUUGUCGUCAGCUCGUGUCGUGAGAUGUUGGGUUAAGUCCCGCAACGAGCGCAACCCUUAUUAUUAGUUGCCAGCAUUUAGUUGGGCACUCUAGUGAGACUGCCGGUGAUAAA
rnacentral:rRNA from 1 species